ACGCCUGCGCUCACGCUCGAAGGCUCUGAGCGACAGGAAGUUCGAAAGCUCCGUGACGUCGACCGUCACACCGGGCGAUGCAAGCAGCCCGGCAUAGCCGAACCGGACGCGCGGC
rnacentral:sRNA from 1 species